rnacentral:rRNA from 1 species
UACGUAGGUGGCAAGCGUUGUCCGGAAUUAUUGGGCGUAAAGCGCGCGCAGGCGGUCCUUUAAGUCUGAUGUGAAAGCCCACGGCUCAACCGUGGAGGGUCAUUGGAAACUGGGGGACUUGAGUGCAGGAGAGAAGAGUGGAAUUCCACGUGUAGCGGUGAAAUGCGUUGAGAUGUGGAGGAACACCAGUGGCGAAGGCGACUCUUUGGCCUGUAACUGACGCUGAGGCGCGAAAGCGUGGGGAGCAAACAGG